rnacentral:rRNA from 1 species
GAUGAACGCUAGCGGCAGGCCUAACACAUGCAAGUCGAGGGGUAACAUAGAAAAGCUUGCUUUUCUGAUGACGACCGGCGCACGGGUGCGUAACGCGUAUACAACCUACCUUUUAGCGGGGAGUAGCCCAGGGAAACUUGGAUUAAUGCCCCAUAGUAUAUGGACUUCUCCUGAAGUUUAUAUUAAACAUUUAUGGCUAUUAGAUGGGUAUGCGUCCUAUUAGUUAGUUGGUAAGGUAACGGCUUACCAAGGCAGCGAUAGGUAGGGGUCCUGAGAGGGAGAUCCCCACACUGGUACUGAGACACGGACCAGACUCCUACGGGAGGCAGCAGUGAGGAAUAUUGGACAAUGGGCGAGAGCCUGAUCCAGCCAUGCCGCGUGCAGGAAGACUGCCCUAUGGGUUGUAAACUGCUUUUACAGAGGAAGAACCACCCCCACGUGUGGGGGUUUGACGGUACUCUGCGAAUAAGGAUCGGCUAACUCCGUG